rnacentral:rRNA from 1 species
GUGUCAGCAGCCGCGGUAAUACGAAGGGUGCAAGCGUUAAUCGGAAUUACUGGGCGUAAAGGGUGCGUAGGCGGUUUGUUAAGUUCGAUGUGAAAGCCCUGGGCUCAACCUGGGAAUGGCAUCGAAGACUGGCAGACUGGAGUGCGGUAGAGGAUGGUGGAAUUCCCGGUGUAGCGGUGAAAUGCGUAGAGAUCGGGAGGAACACCAGUGGCGAAGGCGGCCAUCUGGACCAGCACUGACGCUGAGGCACGAAAGCGUGGGGAGCAAACAGGAUUAGAUACCCUGGUAGUCCACGCCCUAAACGAUGCGAACUGGAUGUUGUGGGCAACUAGGCCCUCAGUAUCGAAGCUAACGCGUUAAGUUCGCCGCCUGGGGAGUACGGUCGCAAGACUGAA